rnacentral:rRNA from 1 species
GUGAGGAAUAUUGGGCAAUGGGCGAAAGCCUGACCCAGCCACGCCGCGUGAGUGAUGAAGGCCUUCGGGUUGUAAAGCUCUGUGGGGAGGGAAGAAAAAGCGGGAGAGUAACUGCUCUCGUGUUGACGGUACCUCCUUAGCAAGCACCGGCUAACUCUGUGCCAGCAGCCGCGGUAAUACAGAGGGUGCAAACGUUGCUCGGAAUUACUGGGCGUAAAGCGCGUGUAGGCUGACAUGCAAGUCGGGUGUGAAAUCCCAGGGCUCAACCUUGGAACUGCACUCGAAACUGCACGUCUGGAGUACUGGAGAGGGAAGCGGAAUUCCGGGUGUAGAGGUGAAAUUCGUAGAUAUCCGGAGGAACACCAGUGGCGAAGGCGGCUUCCUGGACAGUAACUGACGCUGAGACGCGAAAGCGUGGGGAGCAAACAGGAUUAGAAACCCCAGUAGUCC